rnacentral:rRNA from 1 species
CCUACGGGAGGCAGCAGUGAGGAAUAUUGGUCAAUGGGCGCAAGCCUGAACCAGCCAAGUAGCGUGAAGGAUGACUGCCCUACGGGUUGUAAACUUCUUUUAUAAAGGAGUAAACUGAGGCACGUGUGCCUUUCUGUAUGUACUUUAUGAAUAAGGAUCGGCUAACUCCGUGCCAGCAGCCGCGGUAAUACGGAGGAUCCGAGCGUUAUCCGGAUUUAUUGGGUUUAAAGGGAGCGUAGGCGGGUGGUUAAGUUAGUGGUGAAAGUUGGCGGCUCAACUGUGAAAUUGCAUUUGAUACUGGUAGCCUUGAGAGCAGUUGAGGUAGGCGGAAUGCGUGGUGUAGCGGUGAAAUGCUUAGAGAUCACAAAGAACUCCGAUUGCGAAGGCAGCUUACUAAGCUGCGACUGACGUUGAGGCUCGAAAGUGUGGGUAGCAAACAGGAUUAGAUACCCUAGUAGUC